rnacentral:rRNA from 1 species
CCUACGGGUGGCAGCAGUGGGGAAUAUUGCACAAUGGGCGCAAGCCUGAUGCAGCCAUGCCGCGUGUGUGAAGAGGGCCUUCGGGUUGUAAAGCACUUUCAGCGGGGAGGAAGGCGUUAAGGUUAAUAACCUUGUCGAUUGACGUUACCCGCAGAAGAAGCACCGGCUAACGCCGUGCCAGCAGCCGCGGUAAUACGGAGGGUGCAAGCGUUAAUCGGAAUUACUGGGCGUAAAGCGCACGCAGGCGGUCUGUCAAUUCGGAUGUGAAAUCCCCGGGCUCAACCUGGGAACUGCAUUCGAAACUGGCAGGCUAGAGUCUUGUAGAGGGGGGUAGAAUUCCAGGUGUAGCGGUGAAAUGCGUAGAGAUCUGGAGGAAUACCGGUGGCGAAGGCGGCCCCCUGGACAAAGACUGACGCUCAGGUGCGAAAGCGUGGGGAGCAAACAGGAUUAGAUACCUAGUAGUC